rnacentral:rRNA from 1 species
AGUGGCGAACGGGUGAGUAACACGUGGGUAACCUGCCUUUGACUGGGGGAUAGCCCGGGGAAACCCGGAUUAAUACCCCAUAUCGCAUCUUUCCAUAAGGAAAGUUGUGAAAGUUGCCUUGUGCUUCGGUCAUUGAUGGGCCCGCGGUGGAUUAGUUAGUUGGUGGGGUAAUGGCCUACCAAGACCGCGAUCCAUAGCUGGUCUGAGAGGACGAUCAGCCACACUGGAACUGAGACACGGUCCAGACUCC